rnacentral:rRNA from 1 species
UACGUAGGGUGCAAGCGUUGUCCGGAAUUAUUGGGCGUAAAGAGCUCGUAGGCGGUCUGUCGCGUCGAAUGUGAAAACCCGGGGCUCAACCCCGGGCCUGCAUUCGAUACGGGCAGACUAGAGUUCGGUAGGGGAGUCUGGAAUUCCUGGUGUAGCGGUGAAAUUCGUAGAUAUCGGGAGGAACACCUGUGGCGAAGGCGGCCAUCUGGACAUUGACUGACGCUGAGACGCGAAAGCGUGGGUAGCAAACAGG